rnacentral:misc_RNA from 1 species
AAGUCGUAACAAGGUCUCCGUAGGUGAACCUGCGGAGGGAUCAUUACAGAGUUUUUAACUCCUAAAACCAUGUGAACUUACCACUGUUGCCUCGGUGGAAGGCAUCCGAAAGGGUGCUGGAAGCCGGCGGACAUCUAAACUCUUGUUAAUUUUUGUUAUUCUGAAUCAAACUAAGAAAUAAGUUAAAACUUUCAACAACGGAUCUCUUGGUUCUG